UGAGGGCAUCAGGAUUGGAGGUGGUUCAAAUGACAACAAAGGCUUGCUGGUGUGUGACAUGGGUUGUCUUUUUCCCUUUACCACACCAAACUCAUUGACUUGGGUCUUCAAUGCUCCUUCACUCCAGGCCUGGAUCUGCAGUAUACGGUGUAAAGACUGAUGGGAGCGAGGGCAUAGAAUUGCAGCAACCACCACAGGCCUCACAGCAGGGAGGGUGGCCAAAACAUUAUCAACCUAGGUUAAGGGUGGCAGCGCAAACACUACCAUGGUUGGUGGGGUUUGGUCAGGAGGCAAUUGGUGAUGGGUGAUCAAUGUAGCUCUGUCUUCUCGAUGAACUAUGCUUUCAGCAAUGAAAACUCUCUCGAGAGGAAUUACUUAA